rnacentral:tRNA from 1 species
GGGCGCUUAGCUCAGAUGGCGAGAGCGCGUGCCUUACAAGCACGAGGUCGCUGGUUCGAGUCCAGCAGCGCCCA